rnacentral:miRNA from 8 species
UCACUGACCAAUGAGUGCAAA